rnacentral:rRNA from 1 species
AUUGAACGCUGGCGGCAGGCCUAACACAUGCAAGUCGAACGAGUGGCGGACGGGUGAGUAAUGUCUGGGAAACUGCCCGAUGGAGGGGGAUAAAUACUGGAAACGGUAGCUAAUAACGCAUACCAUCGGAUGUGCCCAGAUGGGAGUAGCUAGUAGGUGGGGUAACGGCUAACCUAGGCGACGAUCCCUAGCUGGUCUGAGAGGAUGACCAGCAAAACGGGAACGGAGACACGGUCCAGACUCGUAGGGGAGGCAGCAGUGGGGAAUAUGGAAAAAUGGGGGCAAGCCUGAUGCAGCCAUGCCGCGUGUAUGAAGAAGGCCUUCGGGUUGUAAAGUCCUUUCAGCGAGGAGGCGUUACUCGCAGAAGAAGCACCGGCUAACUCCGUGCCAGCAGCCGCGGUAAUAC